UUGGUUAAGUUAGAAAGGGCGCACGGUGGAUGCCUUGGCACUAGGAGCCGAAGAAGGACGGGACUAACACCGAUAUGCUUUGGGGAGCUGUACGUAAGCGUUGAUCCAGAGAUUUCCGAAUGGGGGAACCCACUAUCUUUAGUCGGAUAGUAUCCUUACGUGAAUACAUAGCGUGAGGAAGGCAGACCCAGGGAACUGAAACAUCUAAGUACCUGGAGGAAGAGAAAGAAAAAUCGAUUUCCUGAGUAGCGGCGAGCGAAACGGAAAGAGCCCAAACCAAGAAGCUUGCUUCUUGGGGUUGUAGGACACUCUAUACGGAGUUACAAAAGAAAGUUAUAAAUGAAGCGGUCUGGAAAGGCCCGCCAAAGACGGUAACAGCCCGGUAGUUGAAAUGGCUUUCCCUCCAGAGUGGAUCCUGAGUACGGCGGAACACGUGAAAUUCCGUCGGAAUCCGGGAGGACCAUCUCCCAAGGCUAAAUACUCCCUAGUGACCGAUAGUGAACCAGUACCGUGAGGGAAAGGUGAAAAGCACCCCGGAAGGGGAGUGAAACAGUUCCUGAAACCGUGUGCCUACAAGUAGUUAGAGCCCGUUAAUGGGUGAUAGCGUGCCUUUUGUAGAAUGAACCGGCGAGUUACGAUUUGUUGCAAGGUUAAGCGGAAAAAGCGGAGCCGUAGCGAAAGCGAGUCUGAAUAGGGCGCAUAAGUAACAGGUCGUAGACCCGAAACCAGGUGAUCUACCCAUGUCCAGGAUGAAGGUAAGGUAAUACUUACUGGAGGUCCGAACCCACGCACGUUGAAAAGUGCGGGGAUGAGGUGUGGGUAGCGGAGAAAUUCCAAUCGAACUUGGAGAUAGCUGGUUCUCUCCGAAAUAGCUUUAGGGCUAGCCUCGAGGUAAAGAGUCAUGGAGGUAGAGCACUGUUUGGACUAGGGGCCCUUCUCGGGUUACCGAAUUCAGAUAAACUCCGAAUGCCAUGUACUUAUACUCGGGAGUCAGACUGCGAGUGAUAAGAUCCGUAGUCGAAAGGGAAACAGCCCAGACCACCAGUUAAGGUCCCCAAAUAUAUGUUAAGUGGAAAAGGAUGUGGGGUUGCUUAGACAACCAGGAUGUUGGCUUAGAAGCAGCCACCAUUGAAAGAGUGCGUAAUAGCUCACUGGUCGAGUGACCCCGCGCCGAAAAUGUACCGGGGCUAAACAUAUUACCGAAACUGUGGAUGAACCUCUUUAGAGGUUCGUGGUAGGAGAGCGUUCUAAGGGCGGUGAAGUCAGACCGGAAGGACUGGUGGAGCGCUUAGAAGUGAGAAUGCCGGUAUGAGUAGCGAAAGAAGGGUGAGAAUCCCUUCCACCGAAUAUCUAAGGUUUCCUGAGGAAGGCUCGUCCGCUCAGGGUUAGUCGGGACCUAAGCCGAGGCCGAUAGGCGUAGGCGAUGGACAACAGGUAGAGAUUCCUGUACCAGUGCUAAUUGUUUAACCGAUGGGGUGACACAGAAGGAUAGGGAAUCGCACGAAUGGAAAUGUGCGUCCAAGCAGUGAGUGUGAGAAGUAGGCAAAUCCGCUUCUCGCGAAGCAUGAGCUGUGAUGGGGAAGGAAAUUAAGUACGGAAGUUCCUGAUUUCACGCUGUCAAGAAAAGCCUCUAGGAAGAGUAGUACUGCCCGUACCGCAAACCGACACAGGUAGAUGAGGAGAGAAUCCUAAGGUGAGCGAGAGAACUCUCGUUAAGGAACUCGGCAAAAUGACCCCGUAACUUCGGGAGAAGGGGUGCUCUAUUAGGGUGCAAGCCCGAGAGAGCCGCAGUGAAUAGGCCCAGGCGACUGUUUAGCAAAAACACAGGUCUCUGCAAAACCGUAAGGUGACGUAUAGGGGCUGACGCCUGCCCGGUGCUGGAAGGUUAAGAGGAGUGCUUAGCUUCGGCGAAGGUACGAAUUGAAGCCCCAGUAAACGGCGGCCGUAACUAUAACGGUCCUAAGGUAGCGAAAUUCCUUGUCGGGUAAGUUCCGACCCGCACGAAAGGCGCAACGAUCUGGGCACUGUCUCAACGAGAGACUCGGUGAAAUUAUAGUACCUGUGAAGAUGCAGGUUACCCGCGACAGGACGGAAAGACCCCGUGGAGCUUUACUGCAACCUGAUAUGGAAUGUUUGUACCGCUUGUACAGGAUAGGUAGGAGCCGAAGAGACGUGUGCGCUAGCAUACGAGGAGGCAAUGGUGGGAUACUACCCUGGCUGUAUGACCAUUCUAACCCGCCACGCUUAGCGCGUGGGGAGACAG
rnacentral:rRNA from 1 species